GCCCUGGUGGCGCAACAGUUAAGUGCUCAGCUGCUAACCUGAAGGUUGGUGGUUCAAACCCACCCAGCGGCU
rfam:Loxodonta africana unplaced genomic scaffold scaffold_16, whole genome shotgun sequence.